UAUUAGAUGCUCACAUCGUUCCGUCUUCAAUCAAGUGAAUAGCAGGUGGCAUUUUUAUGUGGCUGAAAGAGAAGACUAAAUCAGCCAAGUCCCAGAUAAGACGUGACUAUAUUCUUCACAGAGCUUCUUUCUGAAGUGGGGAAACUGCCCAAAUGAAUCAUACAACCAUGUCUGUGAUCUUCCUGCUUCUCUGGGAUUCUGAUAUGAGGU